rnacentral:rRNA from 1 species
CGUGUAGGCGGCCAGGUAGGUCGGUUGUGAAAACUGGAGGCUCAACCUUCAGACGUCGACCGAAACCAUCUGGCUAGAGUCCGGAAGAGGAGAGUGGAAUUCCUGGUGUAGCGGUGAAAUGCGCAGAUAUCAGGAAGAACACCCGUGGCGAAGGCGGCUCUCUGGGACGGUACUGACGCUGAGACGCGAAAGCGUGGGGAGCGAACA